AGGUGAAAAAGAGCCAGGGAAGAUGAUGAUGGAACGCCGAAUUCAGAAUGGCCACCGCGGACAGGCAUCGACAGGUCUGUUGUGUGGGAGUAAUGACCGGCUUCCUUCUGAUUAGAACAAUGAGAUACAUCCCAGAAAAAAAAAAAACAGGACCCAGGAUCAAAUGAGUCUACACCACGCCAGGCCUCAUCUUCCAAGUUCCUCACGCGUCUUGUGUCCCGUUUCCAUUGUCCUUGAAGCACCGCCGCCGCCUCGUGCUCACUUAAUAGUUACUCACUAAUGCGCAGCAGAAUGUGUAGAAUCAAACCUGAGAGAGAGAGAGAGAGAGAGAGAGAGAGAGAGAGAGAGAGAGAGAGAGAGAGAGAGAGAGAGAGAGAGAGAGAAGUACGAUUUCCCUCAUACUUUCGACUCCAUUAUCCAGGUAGCGAGUUUGAAGGUGAAGAGCAGGAGGAAGUGGAGGAGGAGGAGCAGGAGGAGGAGGAGAAGGAGGAGGAAAGGAGGAGGAGGAGAAGGAGGAGGAAAGGAGGAGAAGGAGGAGGAGGAGGAGGAGGAGGAGGAGGAGGAGGAGGAGCAGGAGGAAGAAAUAAAGUAGGUGAAUGAGGAAGAGAAGGAAAAAAGGAAGAAGAAAAAGGCAGAAGAACAAGAGCAAGAACAAGAAGACCAAAAACAAGAAGAACAAGAGGAGGAGGAACUGGAGAAGGAGAAACAGAGAAGAGAAUGAGGGCCUAGGUAUGUUGUAUGCUAUUCUCUCUCUCUCUCUCUCUCUCUCUCUCUCUCUCUCUCUCUCUCUCUCUCUCUCUCUCUCUCUCUCUCUCUCUCUCUCUCUCUCUCUCUCUCUCUCUCUCUCUCUCUCUCUCUCUUUGCUGUUGCUGCUGCUUUCACUUACUCAGUAAAAACUCAGCACAUGCCUUACAGUUUUUUUUACUAUUAUCAUAUUACAUUUUUUUUAUUUUUUUAUUUUGAACGUGUUAGAGAAUGUAUUUGUAAGACUCAGAACUUGUAUAUUUUGUAUUUUACUGUCGACAGGAAUUCACAGAUGACUAAUCAAGCCGCUUUUUCUUUACUCUCCGUUUAUUUUUAAGGCAUAAAUAGUGUUUUCUGCGAUCCUACUUCCCAAGAUCAAUAAAUAAGCGUGUGUGUGUGUAGCAUGUGGCCGGGAGCCUUCGCCUUUACUAUCUAACAUCUCCUGAAUCUCAUAAAUACUGCAACCUAUCAUAGACAGCUAAUUGAACAGUGUAGCAUGUGAUUAACAACCUUGUUACACCUAAUAGCUUUGCUGCUGUCCGGUCUUUUGGCUUCCUUUGAAUUACUUGCAUUCAUAAAUCCGACGUGCAUGUUAUCAGCUUCACUCCACACGUUUUCUUUCAACUCCCAAAUUAAUGAGUCAGUGAGGAGGGCAAGUCAAAACACAGAGGCAUCUUCCAUCACACAGGCACUGUCACGUGUAGACUUUGCGAUGUGCCUUCCCCCUGGAGUUAAUAUUGUUUACGGUCGUGGCCGCGGCAGGGAGGAAGAGGCGUCACGGAUGGCUGGGUGUGGAUUAUAAUGGCGAUAACGUGGAGAUGCCUGGCUCAACAUUAGGGGGUUAAGUAUUUAUAUGUCAGUGAUUGUAUGCAAAUGUUAAUGAUGUGGAUGUCUGCCAGAAGUGUGUUUACUUAUCUCAACAGGGAGCCCGAGUAAUGUUAUGCUCAUACAGCGGUGUAAUUGCUGUAAAAAAAUAUAUAUUGUAUAAAAGUCAGAGAGCAGAGAGA